rnacentral:rRNA from 1 species
GAUGAACGCUGGCGGCAUGCCUAAUACAUGCAAGUCGAGCGAACAGACGAGGAGCUCGCGCCUCUGACGUUAGCGGCGGACGGGUGAGUAACACGUGGAUAGCCUACCUAUUAGACUGGGAUAACUUCGGGAAACGGGAGCUAAUACCGGAUAAUAUAUUGAACAGCAGGGUGCAGUAGUGAAAGACGGUUUUCCUGUCUCUUAUAGAUGGAUGCGCGCCACAUUAGCGAGUUGGUAAGGUAACGGCUUACCAAGGCAACGAUGCGUAGCCGACCUGAGAGGGAGAUCAGCCACACUGGAACUGCGACCCGUUCCAGACUCCUACGGGAGGAAGCAGUAGAGAUUAUGCGGCAAUGGCCGGAUGCCUGAUGGAGUAAUGCCGCGUGAGUGACGAAGGUCUUCGGGCCGUAAAACUCUCUUAUUAGGGAAGAAAACAUGUGCAAGUCAAUAUCGACGUCUUGACGGUACCCAAUCAGUAAGCCACGGCUAACUCCGUG